GUGGGGAAUAUUCCGCAAUGGACGAAAGUCUGACGGAGCAACGCCGCGUGAGUGAUGAAGGUUUUCGGACUGUAAAGCUCUGUUGUUUGGGACGAAAGUGCCUGUUGCGAACAGUUACGGGUAUUGACGGUACUAAACGAGGAAGCCACGGCUAACUACGUGCCAGCAGCCGCGGUAAUACGUAGGUGGCAAGCGUUGUCCGGAAUUAUUGGGCGUAAAGAGCAUGUAGGCGGGAAUCUAAGUCUGUUGUUAAAAUGCGGGGCUCAACCCCGUAUUGCGAUGGAAACUGGGUUUCUUGAGUGCAGGAGAGGAAAGGGGAAUUCCCAGUGUAGCGGUGAAAUGCGUAGAUAUUGGGAGGAACACCAGUGGCGAAGGCGCCUUUCUGGACUGUGUCUGACGCUGAGGCGCGAAAGCGUGGGGAGCAAACAGGAUUAGAUACCCGAGUAGUCC
rnacentral:rRNA from 1 species